CUAAACUUAGCUUAAAAUUUAAGCAUUUAAAUGUUAAUUAAAAGAUACUUUUCCUAGUAGUUUAGA
rnacentral:tRNA from 1 species